GGCUGGGCGUCCCUCCCGGACGACAUAGCCCGCCAGGUCGCCGCGCUGGUGCUGAAAUCCGGCGUCGUGGACUACAUUGCCUUCCGCGCCGUCUGCUCCGGAUGGCGCACCUGCGCGCCCACUCCGCGCGACCCCACCCUGCGGAUCCGGUCUCUCCGCCCGGUCGGCUGAGUCGCGCUCUGUGACGGCGACGCCGUCCGCCCCGACGACGCCUGCCAGAUAACCUUCUUCCACAGUCAAACGGCGAGGUGCCUCCGCGUCCGCCUGCCCGAGCUCCAGCGCCACAGGAUCAUUGGCUUCACCGAUGGUCUUGUCAUCCUGCUGCACAAGCGAACCACCGCGGUCCGCGUGCUCAACCCCUUCACGGGCGCCGCGGUCGACUUCCCGUCCCUCGUCCCCGUGUACCAGCAGCUGAUCAAGAACCGCAACUGCGUCCUUGGCAUGAACGCUGCGGUUUGUGCUAGUGUAUCAUCCACCACCUCCAUUGCCGUCGUGGCCUGGUUCCCUUGGUCGUCUGUGGUGCUCAGCGCCGAUGCAGGCCACUCGAGCUGGGAGGUCAUCCAAACAAACAUGUAUCUCUCCAACACCUUGCCCUUCCAAGGCCAGCUCUAUGGCUUCCUGCAGUCUUCAAGGUGA
rnacentral:rRNA from 1 species